rnacentral:misc_RNA from 1 species
GAUGAAGAACGUAGCGAAAUGCGAUAAGUAAUGUGAAUUGCAGAAUUCAGUGAAUCAUCGAAUCUUUGAACGCACAUUGCGCCCUCUGGUAUUCCGGGGGGCAUGCCUGUUCGAGCGUCAUUACAACCCUCAAGCUUUGCUUGGUAUUGGACAUUGCCAGUUUCUGGCAGGUCUUAAAAUCAGUGGCGGUGCCAUUUGGCUUCAAGCGUAGUAAUUCUUCUCGCUUUGGAGAUCCAGGUGGUUACUUGCCAAUAACCCCCAAUUUUUUCAGGUUGACCUCGGAUCAGGUAGGGAUACCCGCUGAACUUAAGCAUAUAAUAAGCGGAGGA